GAUGAACGCUGGCGGCGUGCUUAACACAUGCAAGUCGAACGGAAAGGCUCCUGCUUGCAGGGGUACUCGAGUGGCGAACGGGUGAGUAACACGUGGGUGAUCUGCCCUGCACUUCGGGAUAAGCCUGGGAAACUGGGUCUAAUACCGGUUCGGACGAUGGUUUGGAUGCCAUUUUGGAAAGUUUUUCGGUGUGGGAUGAGCUCGCGGCCUAUCAGCUUGUUGGUGGGGUAAUGGCCUACCAAGGCGUCGACGGGUAGCCGGCCUGAGAGGGUGUACGGCCACAUUGGGACUGAGAUACGGCCCAGACUCCUACGGGAGGCAGCAGUGGGGAAUAUUGCACAAUGGGCGCAAGCCUGAUGCAGCGACGCCGCGUGGGGGAUGACGGCCUUCGGGUUGUAAACUCCUUUCGCUAGGGACGAAGAGCAAGUGACGGUACCUGGAGAAGAAGCACCGGCUAACUACGUG
rnacentral:rRNA from 1 species